AUUUUAAAGCAUGGUUUAAAUAUCCCCAAAUUAUCCCCAAAUUCCCCUCCCUCUCUUUCUCUCUCUCUCCUCUGAUCUCGCACAUUUGUAGCUCCUCUUCACUGACGUUCCAGAUCUCCGAUUCCACCCAGAAAAAUGGCGUCAUUCUCUGUUUACCGAGACUCAUGCCCAAUAGUGAAAAACAUACUUUUGCUUGAUUCAGAAGGGAAAAGGGUAGCUGUAAAGUAUUAUUCCGAUGAUUGGUCCACGAAUGGGGCGAAAUUGGCGUAUGAGAAAUCUGUGUUUACUAAAACCCAGAAGACUAAUGCUAGGACUGAAGCUGAGAUUACAAUGUUUGACAACAACAUUGUCAUCUAUAAGUUCGUCCAAGACCUCCAUUUCUUUGUAACAGGAGGUGACGAUGAAAAUGAACUCAUUUUGGAUGCUGUUCUUCAGGGUUUCUUUGAUGCUGUUACCCUUUUAUUGAGGAGCAAGGUUGACAAAAGUGAGGCCCUUGAGAAUUUGGACCUUAUACUUCUAUGCCUUGAUGAGAUAGUUGACAGAGGGAUGAUUCUUGAGACCGAUGGUAAUGUCAUUGCCUCAAAAGUUGCCACCAGCAGCGUUGAUCCUGCUGCACCCUUGUCUGAACAGACCAUAUCUCAGGCAUUGGCUUUGGCUCGUGAGCACUUGACAAGAUCCCUUUUGAGCUAAUCUUUACAUGGAAAUUGUCAGCCGUCAUCUACUCUAUUUUUGAUUCUUCACCAGUCCCCAGCUUAAUGUAGUCAAUUGCUGCGGUAUAUCUCUGUGGCUGAUUUUCCUGGUGAUGUGAUCAUGUAGCUUUGCUGAUCAUAUUUGAGCACUUGAUUGAACCGUUUAUCAGUGCUUUUCUAUUAGUAGAUUGUUUUGCUUUUCUUCUUAGUGAAACCUUGAAGACCUUCGAUUUGCUAGCCAGAAAUAUCAUCGUUGAUGUAUACUUUUUGUGUAUAACUCGUUAAAUAUAAAAUUUAAAUGCUUUGUUUACUCAAUUUA